AUAGAGGCCUACCAUGGUGGUAACGGGUAACGGGGUGUUAGGGCACGACACCGGAGAGGGAGCCUGAGAAACGGCUACCACAUCCAAGGAUGGCAGCAGGCGCGCAAAUUACCCAAUCCCGACACGGGGAGGUAGUGACAAUAAAUAACAAUACGGGGUUCUUUAGGAUCUCGUAAUUGGAAUGAGUACAAUUUAAAUCUCUUAACGAGGAACAAUUGGAGGGCAAGUCUGGUGCCAGCAGCCGCGGUAAUUCCAGCUCCAAUAGCGUAUAUUAAAGUUGUUGCAGUUAAAAAGCUCGUAGUUGAAUUUCGGGGUUAGUAGGUUGGUCAUGCCUCUGGCAUGUACUGGUCUCACUGAUUCCUCCUUCCUUAUGAACCGUAAUGCCAUUAAUUUGGGGUUGCGGGGAAUUUGGACUGUUACUUUGAAAAAAUUAGAGUGUUUAAAGCAAGCUAACGCUUGAAUACAUUAGCANNUGGAAUAAUGAAAUAGGACGUUCGAUCUUAUUUUGUUGGUUUCUAGGAUUGACGUAAUGAUUAAUAGGGAUAGUUGGGGGCAUUAGUAUUCAAUUGUCAGAGGUGAAAUUCUUGGAUUUAUUGAAGACUAACUACUGCGAAAGCAUUUGCCAAGGAUGUUUUCAUUAAUCAAGAACGAAAGUUAGGGGAUCGAAGACGAUCAGAUACCGUCGUAGUCUUAACCAUAAACUAUGCCGACUAGGGAUCGGAUGAUGUAAU
rnacentral:rRNA from 1 species